GGCUCAGGACGAACGCUGGCGGCGUGCCUAAUACAUGCAAGUGGAACGCAAUUAAUUCACCGGAGCUUGCUCCACCGAGUUGAUUGAGUCGCGAACGGGUGAGUAACGCGUAGGUAACCUGCCUCAUAGCGGGGGAUAACUAUUGGAAACGAUAGCUAAUACCGCAUAAUAGUAUUUACUGCAUGGUAGAUACUUGAAAGGAGCAAUUGCUUCACUAUGAGAUGGACCUGCGUUGUAUUAGCUAGUUGGUGAGGUAACGGCUCACCAAGGCAUCGAUACAUAGCCGACCUGAGAGGGUGAUCGGCCACACUGGGACUGAGACACGGCCCAGACUCCUACGGGAGGCAGCAGUAGGGAAUCUUCGGCAAUGGGGGCAACCCUGACCGAGCAACGCCGCGUGAGUGAAGAAGGUUUUCGGAUCGUAAAGCUCUGUUGUAAGAGAAGAACAGUGAGAAGAGUGGAAAGUUUCUCACAUGACGGUAUCUUACCAGAAAGGGACGGCUAACUACGUGCCAGCAGCCGCGGUAAUACGUAGGUCCCGAGCGUUGUCCGGAUUUAUUGGGCGUAAAGCGAGCGCAGGCGGUUUGAUAAGUCUGAAGUAAAAGGCUGUGGCUUAACCAUAGUACGCUUUGGAAACUGUCAAACUUGAGUGCAGAAGGGGAGAGUGGAAUUCCAUGUGUAGCGGUGAAAUGCGUAGAUAUAUGGAGGAACACCGGUGGCGAAAGCGGCUCUCUGGUCUGUAACUGACGCUGAGGCUCGAAAGCGUGGGUAGCGAACAGGAUUAGAUACCCUGGUAGUCCACGCCGUAAACGAUGAGUGCUAGGUGUUGGGUCCUUUCCGGGACUCAGUGCCGUAGCUAACGCAUUAAGCACUCCGCCUGGGGAGUACGACCGCAAGGUUGAAACUCAAAGGAAUUGACGGGGGCCCGCACAAGCGGUGGAGCAUGUGGUUUAAUUCGAAGCAACGCGAAGAACCUUACCAGGUCUUGACAUCCCUCUGACCGCCCUAGAGAUAGGGUUUCUCUUCGGAGCAGGGGAGACAGGUGGUGCAUGGUUGUCGUCAGCUCGUGUCGUGAGAUGUUGGGUUAAGUCCCGCAACGAGCGCAACCCCUAUUGUUAGUUGCCAUCAUUUAGUUGGGCACUCUAGCGAGACUGCCGGUAACAAACCGGAGGAAGGUGGGGAUGACGUCAAAUCAUCAUGCCCCUUAUGACCUGGGCUACACACGUGCUACAAUGGCUGGUACAACGAGUCGCAAGUCGGUGACGACAAGCUAAUCUCUUAAAGCCAGUCUCAGUUCGGAUUGUAGGCUGCAACUCGCCUACAUGAAGUCGGAAUCGCUAGUAAUCGCGGAUCAGCACGCCGCGGUGAAUACGUUCCCGGGCCUUGUACACACCGCCCGUCACACCACGAGAGUUUGUAACACCCGAAGUCGGUGAGGUAACCGUAAGGAGCCAGCCGCCUAAGGUGGGAUAGAUGAUUGGGGUGAAGUCGUAACAAGGUAGCCGUAUCGGAAGGUGCGGCUGGAUCACCUCCUUUCUAAGGAAAUGGAACCUGUACGUUAGUCUUCUUUAAUUUUGAGAGGUUUUGUGGGGCCUUAGCUCAGCUGGGAGAGCGCCUGCUUUGCACGCAGGAGGUCAGCGGUUCGAUCCCGCUAGGCUCCAUUAACAACGGAAGUUGUUAAGUAUUGUCCAUUGAAAAUUGAAUAUCUAUCAAACAAUCCUGAUGUAUAGUAAUAUACAUUAAGAAAUAGUAACAAGAAAAUAAACCGAAAACGCUGUGAAUAUUAAAUGAGUUUACUAGUUUAGAAAAAACUAGAAAAUAAGGUUAAGUUAAUAAGGGCGCACGGUGGAUGCCUUGGCACUAGAAGCCGAAGAAGGACGUGACUAACGACGAAAUUCCUUGGGGAGCUGUAAGUAAGCAAUGAUCCAGGGGUGUCCGAAUGGGGGAACCCGGCAGGUAGAUGCCUGUCACUCACUACUGUUAAGGUAGUGAAGAGGAAGACGCAGUGAACUGAAACAUCUAAGUAGCUGCAGGAAGAGAAAGCAAAAGCGAUUGCCUUAGUAGCGGCGAGCGAAACGGCAAGAGGGCAAACCGAAGAGUUUACUCUUCGGGGUUGUAGGACUGCAAUGUGGACUUAAAAGAUAUAGAAGAAUUACCUGGGAAGGUAAGCCAAAGAGAGUAAAAGCCUCGUAUUUGAAAUAUGUUUUAUACCUAGCAGUAUCCUGAGUACGGCGAGACACGCGAAAUCUCGUCGGAAUCUGGGAGGACCAUCUCCCAACCCUAAAUACUCUCUAGUGACCGAUAGUGAACCAGUACCGUGAGGGAAAGG
rnacentral:rRNA from 1 species